rnacentral:lncRNA from 1 species
GGGACUUUUUCUAAAUGUCUGCAUUUUAAACACUUCUGACUCAUUUAUAAACAUUGGUUGCCCUCAUUGAAUUUUCAAUUGUUUAAUAGUUUAGAGGGCAAUACGUUCAAUGCACUCAUUACAUCCAGAAUGUGUAGCAACUUCAAACCAGAGUGACAGUGUAAGGGCAGAUGAGAAGGUGGUCAUCCAGGGGUGAUGGUGACCACAUUCUGAUGGGGCUUUUGGUGGGGGAAAAUCCUUUAAGGUUUUUAAAAGAAUGGUUCCAAAGCUGCCAGAAUAGUUACCUUAAAAAAUCAGAGUUCAGGCCGGGCGCAGUGGCUCACACCUGUAAUCCCAGCACUUUGGGAGGCCAAGGCGGGCAGAUCACCUGAGGUCAGGAGUUCGAGACCAGCCUGGCCAGCAUGGUGAAACCCCGUCUCUACUAAAAUUACAAAAAUUAGCUGGAUGUGGUGGCAGGUGGCUGUCACCCCAGCUACUCGGGAGGCUUGAGAAUCGCUUGAGCCCAGGAGAAGGAGGUUGCAAUGAGCUGAGAGUGCACCAUUGCACUCCAGCCUGGGUAACAGAGUGAGGCCCUGUCCCAAAAAAAAAAAAAAAAAAGCAGAGUUCAGCUCCCAGGAAUCACCCCUUGCAGACUGAUUUCAAUUAUUCAACUGUCAUUUACUGGGCACCAGUAUGUCCCAAGCUCUUGUCUAGGAGAGGACUCAAUAGUGACAAGAGAGACAAGGACUCUGUUCUCAUAGAGCUUGGAUUCCAGACUAAUGUAACAUGUCACCGCACAAGUGUCACUGCAGGAAGAGCGCUAAGCUCUGACCCGGAGUCCCCCAUCUUGGUCAACCCCACUGGCCUCAGCUUAAUCUGCAGGGACAGUUCCUCUGCUGCUUAGAACUGAACAGCCAUUCCUAUUGUCCUUGAAAUUCUGGAAUAAAUUUUUUCUUUGGCGCUCUCCCAUAGGCAUUUUGGGAUUUGGGUACCUUAAUGGUAUAUUAGUAUUUAACCAAUUUUCAUUCUAUGUAUAAUUUUCUCACAAAUGUCAUGUCAUCUCACUAAUCAAAAUGUUUCUCCAGUUUACAAUGUAACUGCCAUUAUUAAUUUCACUGCAUGGGUUUGUUGUUUUGUUUUAUUUUGGUUUUGAGACAGGGUCUCACUCUGUCACUCAGGCUGGAGUACAGCGGUGCGAUCUCAGCUCACUACGACUUCCGCCUCCUGGGCUCAAGCGAUUCUCCCACCUCAGCACCCCAGAGUAGCUAGGACCACAGAAUGAGUUUGCUCAUCUGUGUUCUAAAGCAUGCUGGACUCCACUUAGAACUGAACUGGGCAAACAAGAUUUAUUCAGAGAACUUCAAUUAUGUGAGACAUAAUUUUCUUUCUUUUUACAUUUCUUUAAAAAAAAAUUUUUUUUUAGGGGUUUCACCACAUUGCCCAGGCUGGUCUUGAACUCCUGGACUCAAGUGAUCCACCCACUUUGGCCCUCCCAAACUGCUGGGAUUACAGGUGUGAGCCACUGCACCAGGCCAAUUUUCAUAAUAGAGCACUUUGAUCUCUUACCCUCAAUUUCAUGUCACAUUCAUUAUUCUGAAGUGAUGACAAAUGUUGUAUUAUGUGCCAUAGUAAGCUAAGUGUAUAUUGCUAAUGAAUUGCCAUCCUGGGAUGUCAUAAAAGACCUUUCUGAAGAAAAAAAAUUCUAAGAAUCCUCUCAAGAGCUUAUACAAAUAGGAGAAUCAUAACACGAGGAAGCAAGUGAUUUGGGGAGAAUUUCACACAUCCCCAAAAGCACCAACCAUAAAGAAAAAGAUUGAUAUAUCUGAUUAUGUCAUCAUUUAAAAGUAUACAAAGGGCCAGGCGCUGUGGCUGACACCUGUAAUCCCAGCACUUUGGCAGGCCAAGGCGGGCGGAUUGCCUGAGCUCAGGAGUUCAAGACCAGCCUGGCCAACAUGGUGAAACCCUGUCUCUACUAAAAUACCAAAAAUUAGCCAGGUGUGGUGGUGCACGCCUGUAGUCCCAGCUACUUGGGAGGCUGAGGCAGGAGAAUGGCGUGAACCCGGGAGGCAGAGCUGGCAGUGAGCUGAGAUCACGCCACUGCACUCCAGCCUGGGCGACAGAGUGAGACUCCGUCUCAAAAAAUAAUAAUAAUAAUAAAUAAAUAAAAUAAAAG